rnacentral:sRNA from 1 species
AUUUUUUCUUGCAUACCCCCCAUGCUACUACUGCACGUCUACAUUCCCGCGGAUCAGCUGACGCCUGACUAGCUUCCCCAAGGCGCACUGCUCCUGCUCCCCGCAGCGUCUCCUUCGCCGCGGCGCCGCGCCAGCAUCUCCGCGAGCGCGCGCGAGUGCGGCCACUCGGGGUUACCUCGCGGAACAUGGCCUCAGCGCGCGCCAGCGAAUCGUCCGCCGUGUCCUCCGCCACCUUCCCGGGUACGUCCGACAACCUGUCCGCGGCACUGCCGCCGUCCGUGGCACGCGUGAUCGGCUUCCUCGUGUCCGCGAACUCCAGCUCCGCGAGAGGCGACGGCUUGUGCGUCUGGUAGUACUCCCUGUCCUCCUCCCUCACUUUCCGCCCCGCCGCCUCCUCGCCCCCUGGCGUCGCCUCCUCGCGCGAGUCAGCUGGCCGGGACGACGACGACCGCCGCCGCUUCUGCGUGAACGACGAGCCUCCCGCCGGGUCGGCGAGCUCUUGGGACCCAAGCUUGUCAGACAUAGCGAACGGCGGGACGCGCUCCUUGGUGGAUUCCGACGGCGUUGCUGCCGCCGUCGACGGGUUCUUUCCGUGGUCGCCGCCUCCGGUGGCCUCCUCGGCGCCGGAGAACUUGGGAGGACGGUCGGGGUAGUCGUCACUCGGCGGGUCGCCGGAAUGCACGGAUGGAUCGCCUGCGCCACCCGCUUCCGUCGAGGUGGACAGGAGGCGGCGUCGCCCUGGUACGACGACGAGGCUGCGGAGAUUGGUAGAUGGUGGUCUUGAGGCAAUGAGGCGUACUGCUCGCGCGGUGGCCAUGCUGGUGGCUGGUCGAUCGUGCUAGCUGCUGAGGAUUUUCGAUGGCUCGACGAUGCCGUGUUCGCUCUCGUCGGAGGGUGGUCUUAUAUAUGGAACGGCGUGCGAGCGGAGAGAGUUCGCCGGAGAAGGAGAGGAGGUGGGGGAGGGAGAGGUGGACGCGUGGAGGGAUCGAGAGCAUCGAGAAUGAGGUGGAAGACACGAGUCGAGCACGGAGCGACCCUUUUCCUCUCUGGAAAGUGCGGGAAGACUGAAGAGCAGCGAGAGUUUUGGACUUUUGGCGGCGGUUGGGGCCGGGGCCAGACUGCCAGGUGAAAUCAGCCCGCUAAGAUUUCGGCCUUCCGGAUGAUUCGGCCCGCUCAGAGGCUACUUAGGAGUACUACUAUUACAUUUGGGCGUUAGGACAGGGAAAUUGAUUUGUCAUGUACUCUUUCCGUCAUAUCAGUCGUUUUAGUUUUCUUAUUAUUACCUUUUAAAAUUUUGAUCAAUUUUAGUAAAAAAUUACAACAAUUAUAAUAAUAAAUCAGUCUCUUUAAAUGUGGCAUU